rnacentral:sRNA from 1 species
UUUUGAAGGACAUUUAAA